rnacentral:rRNA from 1 species
AUGAACGCUGGCGGCGUGCCUAAUACCUGCAAGUCGAGCGAACUUUUGGGAGCUUGCUCCCAGAAGUUAGCGGCGGACGGGUUAGUAACACGGUGGUAACCUGCCUGUAAGACUGGGAUAACUUCGGGAAACCGGAGCUAAUACCGGAUAACAUUCAAGACCACCUGGCCUUCAAUUAAAAAGUUGCUUUUAGCUACCACUUACAGAUGGACCCGCGGCGCAUUAGCUAGUUGGUGAGGUAACGGCUCACCAAGGCGACGAUGCGUAGCCGACCUGAGAGGGUGAGCAGCCACACUGGGACUGAGACACGGCCCAGACUCAUACGGGAGGCAGCAGUAGGGAAUCUUCCGCAAUGGACGAAAGUCUGACGGAGCAACGCCGCGUGAGCGAGGAAGGCCUUCGGGUCGUAAAGCUCUGUUGUUAGGGAAGAACAAGUAUCGUUCGAAUAGGGCGGUACCUUGACGGUAACUAACAAGAAAGCCACGGCUAACUACGUG